AUGUUCUUCACAUCUUCACUGCUGCUGCUCACUGUGACAUGUGUCCACUCUCAGGUUGUUCUCACACAGUCUGAGGGGUCAGUAACAGUGACUCCAGGUGGAUCCCAUAAAUUGACCUGUGCUUGCAGUGGAUUCAGUGUGGGGGUUACGGAAAUGUUCUGGAUCCGACAGGCUCCUGGAAAAGGACUGGAAUGGAUUAUUUACUAUUAUUCUGAAAGUACCAAAAGCUCAGCUCAGUCAGUUCAGGGCAGAUUCACAGCAUCCAAGGACAGCUCUAAUCUCUACCUGCACAUGAGUCAACUGAAGCCUGAAGACACUGCAGUGUAUUACUGUGCCAGAGUCUCACAGUGGUGGAACUCAAACAGACAGCUGUACAAAAACCCUGCUUUGGAAAAAGAGGAUAGAGGGAAAGAGAAAAUUAUGGUUGAGAUGUGUAGCUGUGGAAGUAGAAGUAUGGCAGCUUAG